rnacentral:rRNA from 1 species
GAUCCUGGCUCAGGACGAACGCUGGCGGCGUGCCUAAUACAUGCAAGUAGAACGCUGAAGGAGGAGCUUGCUUCUCUGGAUGAGUUGCGAACGGGUGAGUAACGCGUAGGUAACCUGCCUGGUAGUGGGGGAUAACUAUUGGAAACGAUAGCUAAUACCGCAUAACAGUAGAUAUUGCAUGAUAUCUGCUUGAAAGGUGCAAUUGCAUCACUACCAGAUGG